ensembl:lncRNA
CUUGAUCCCAUGCUGUGUUGAAGCUGGAUGGAUGCCCUAAUACCCCUGGGAGGGAGGUGCAGACCCCUUGAACUAGGCAGGGGUGUGGGUGCCCCUUACGGACCUCCCUGCAGCCUUCUAGCACCCCCAGCGGAUCCCCCGACCACCCUCACAGCAUCCUCUGGCCCUGUCUCAGUAAAACAAACACAAGCCAGCUCUUGAAUGCAUUUUAUUCUGAAAUAGUACAGAUGACAUCAGAUUCAGUUAGGGUAAACAGCAAGGCCCUGCUGGACGGCCCUGCAACCCACUUGGCUUCAGCAUCCCUGGAAGCUGAUGUGGCCUCACACUGCACCAAGGUUCUCCUCAUUGCAUGCAACGGGAGUGACCUCAUAGACCCCAAAUAUCCCUAAACCCUGUGCCAGGACCCUAAAAGCCCUGCCCAGAAGCUCUCACCAGCCCCCAAACCCUGCCUAACUGCCUCCAAAGAUCUGCAAACCUGCCCCAAGGCCCCAUAACACCCCAAAUCCUUCAGGGCCCCCAGAGACCAUCCUCCAAAUCCUGCUCCAUGGCCCACAACCCCUCGAUACCCUGCCCAAAUGCCCACCAGCCUGCCCCAGGGCCAUGAAACACCCUACACCCUGUUCCAGGCCUCCCUGAAGAUGCCCCCCCCGCCCAGUCCUGCCUGAUAGCUCACACCAAUGCCCAAACUCCCCCAGACUUGUCCCAUAACUCACCCCGACGCCCAAACACCCCCGAGCCUGCCCCGGGGCCCCAAGCCCGCAGACCUUGUCCCGAGGCCGGCACCGGCGGCGGCUGACAGGCAGGAUGGCUGCGGUCCCCCGGCUCCACUGCCCGGAGAGAGGGGCGGGACUGAGGGUUCCACCCUCUCCCCGCGGGACCAAUCGCUGAGCGGCUCCACGCGGGCCAAUGGAAGGUUCGGUCGGUUUGGCUCAGCCAAUCAGAUACCGCUCUUACUGCGCGUGCGCGGCUGCCGGACACUGGAGGGUGUUUCUAUUGGGUGUUAGGAAUUGCCUGCAGCGGGGGGGGGGGGCUGCAGUGACGUCACCGCAGCGUUCCGUUGCCGCGGCGACCGGAGGAGCGGACGGGGGCCGAGAGGGUCCCCGGCGGCCUGCGGCGCCGAGGGCAGGAGCCGCGGGCGUCUGUCAGCUAACAAAGACGAUGGAACAGCCUAUCCACAUAGGAGAGCUGAUAUAUGGCUUACCUCCAACAAUCAGUAUUACUGUGGUGUAUUGUGUUUCACUGGCAGCAAUAUAUUCAAGAAGAACAUGAGAACUCCUGCACUCCUGGAGACCACAGGAUCCAUGCUCUGGGCUGGUCAUUUUAGGCCUGGUCAUUUAGGUGCAGAGUAUUCUUUCUAGUCACAUGCCCUGCGUGAGCCUCUCCUUCAGCUGUUUUCCCAAGGUUUUGGAAAUGCUUCUGGUAAAUACUGCAGUUUCCAAAACUUUUCACUGUGUCCUUGCUGGUAUGGGAUACCAUUAUAGCAGGGAGAGGCAGCCUACGUAUGUGGAAGGAACAUUGUGGCACAGAGACAUUACCUCUUUGGCCCACCUAAUCCAUUUGAGAGUUUUAUUUUUGACCUGAAGAUUGGGUCUUUGAGUGCCAUACACAGCAUGCAUUGCUUUCCCCAUUCUUUUCACAAGAUCAUCGCCGUUCUUCAGUUGUUUCUUCUGAGGGGGGAGUUGCUGCAGGAACUGCUGGGGAGGCCCUGACAGUGGGACAUGAAAAAGACACCUUUGACUACAUCCAGCAGAAGAAGUUUAAGCCGAAGGAUCAGAGUAAAUAACUGCUUGUCUAGGCUUGUUUCCCAGCAACACAUUGUCAGAAUUUUUUUUAAUGAACAAUCCUACUUGAUCAAGUGCCUAUUCAUUCCGUGAAUAUUAGUGCAAAAACAUGUACAUUACCGAUCCUUUAAAGCAAGUCCAUGGCACUGGGGUAGCGUGCGUAGUGAAGACUAAAUCCCGUAAUAACUCAUUUUGAUGUUGUUCUCUUAAGUGAAAGCACUUAAGGCAGAUUAAAACAUUUAUCAUACUCUUUUGUUUGUUGAAUGGACCAUGAUACUAAGAAAAACCUGCAGUGAAGGAGACAUAGUAGCCAUUUUCCUUAGAGAAGGUGUCUUGUCCUGUACUUUAGGACUUACUGUGCAUUUUGAGAGAGAGUAGCAAAUGACAGGUCUCCUUUUAACCCCCGGGGAGCAGAAAGUUGUGACUUGAAGGCAAAAUGUUUCUUGCAGCUGGGUUAGAAGAAGCUGGCUACCAAUCAAAAGUAAUGACAAUUCUGUGGAGUCCCUGGAAGUUUUGAAAAGACCGUAUUUACCUUUUAUAAAAGGCUAUGCACUUUCAUUACUAAUGCCUGUAGUAAUCGAGCCAGGUAAGUGGUACAUAGGUGGUCGAGCCAUUAGUCUUUUUUCACAUAGUAAUAGCCUUUAGGCUGUGAUCACUGUUAGAAAAGUCCAGCUAUUUUAAAAAUGGAACAAGCCUUUUUAGCUUGUUUCCUGUAGUACCACAAAAGGUGAUCAGAAUACUAAUGUUUUCGUGCUUUAAUGUGGUAGACGUACUCUGUGCCAACAUCUCUUACUGUUUAAUAAUAAAAACUGAGCAGUCCAUCA